UUUUCUCUUUUUAAAAUGUAACCUUACUACUUUUAAAUAAUUAUAUGUUAUUCACAAAAUAUUAUUGAAUACUUAAAAUUUUAUUUUAAUUGAAUUAGCCGCUUCCCAUAACUAUUUAUUAUUUUAAAAAUCCCAACAUUAUUCUUUAUGAUACUUUUUCUCUAAUAAUAUUCAUCAACCAUGGUUUUAUGCAAUAACGUUAAAAAUCUAAUAUAAAAAGAUUGUUGGACCGGAGUUAAACGUAAUGGAUCCAGACCGGUUAUGGUAUAUUUCAAAAUUUCCAAAAACCUAAAAAUACCUGUUUAUGAAAAAAAAAACCUGAAAUCCCAAACAAAUAAAUACCUAAAAGUUUAAACUUUUACCCGAAAGCUGAUCCAAGGAACUGAAAAAUACGAAAAUUUUAUUCAAAUACCAAAAAUAUAUUUUUAAAAUUUGAAAUUUUACCCAAACCCGAAACUAUAACCGUAAAACCAAACCCAAAAUUUAAAAAAAAUAUCUAUAACACCGAAAACAUAUUUGAGAUAUCCAAAUAUACCUAAUAUACACAAACUAUUUUGGAUACCUUGGGUACCGAUUGAGUCUCGGAUAGGACCCAUACUUGAACAAAAACUCGCAAACCAAAAAAGUAUAUUAUAGGUAAUUUUCCAUGGAUCCGUACCCGAAGCAAACCUAUAUUUUGGGGUGGUUUCAGCUUUUUUCUUUUUGUUCUAAUAAAACGAUCAGACCUAAAAACAAUGGUAAAAGAGUGUACAUAUAAAAUCCUAAAUGAACUAAUUCACUGAUUAUAUAAUUUUAAAACAAUUACUUCUUUGAUAUAAUACAACUUUGAAUCAUAAUAUAAUCCAAAAAAUCCGUGCUUUCGAAGCGCAGAUCAAAUCUAGUCAAUACUAUUAAAAAGGAAGGAGUUUUAAUAAAUCUACUUACAAAAGGUUAUUGGACCUAUCUACUAUUUAUUAUUUUUAGUCAUACAAACAAUUAAUCUAACUAUAUAAAUCCCGUAAAUUGAUCUAACCGAUUUUUGUCCAACAAUCUAUAUGGUGGGCCCUUAACCUCAAACACAAUUAUACUUUUAGCAUCGCCCUAUCAUUAUUAGAAUUUAUAUUGUAUGAAGCGCACCAUGAGAUUGAUGUUAACAAAGCUUGCAUAAUUUUACAUCGACAAAUAGUUUACAAUCUCAUCAUCUCCAUUCAUGAAAAGCUAUGAAAUAAAUAUAUGAAAUAAUUAUGUUAAGAACAAAGUACAAACUACAUCAUUGUUCCGCAAUGUUUAAAUUCAACUAUAAAUUAUGUUAUGAUUUUACCUAUCAAAAUCGAAGAAUCCAAAAAAUCAUGAACAUGAAAAAUACCAAAACCAAAACAAUUAACCGAACAUAUUCAAAUACCUAAAAGCUCUCAAAAUCUUACUUCAAAUUUGACCCGAAAAACAAAAAAAUACCCAAAAUUUCAUCAAAAAUUUAAAUUUUUAUCUAAAACUCAAAACUAUAACCAAAAACACAAUCCCAUAACGUAAAAUAUGUUUGUAAAAAUGAAAACAUAUCUGAAAUAAAUAUACAUAAUCACAAAAUAUUUUAGUUGCUUUGGGUAUAUGAUUGGGUCUCGGGUAAGAUCCGGACUCGAAACAAGAUCUGUAGGUCCAAGAAAACACCUAAUAAGUAUUUUUCCUGAACUUAGACCCGAACCAAUUAUGUAUUUUCGGGUAGAUUUUUUAGAUCCAAGUAAAAUAUCCAGACCCAACAGAGAGUUAAAUAAGACUGUACAUACAAAAUCUCAAAUAAACUAACUCAUAAAUUAUAUAACUUUUUUAAUAAAUUCCUACUUGGACAUAAUACGGCUUUGUAACAUAAUAACUUACAGCAACCCCAAAAUACGAACUCAUAUGAAAAUCUGUUUGUAAUCUAGUUAAUUAUUAUAUAAAGAUAUCAGAGGUACGUUUCUUUGAGAUCUAUAUAUAUAUAAAUAUGUUUCUCUCCUGUGAGAGAGACACAUCAUCAAUUAGAAACAGCAGAAGGCGACACGUGUCUCAUAGCAAAAUUUAUCACGCUUUCGUUUGGAUCCUAUUGGGCCUGCGAGCUAAGAUUUUGUAAGUUUUGAAUAACUUUAAUUGAGUUGAAUGAUGUAAAAAGAAGUUAGCCCGUUUAAACCUUCGUCUUCUCACUUUCUUCAAGAAUGGCUAAUCUAAAAUUUAAGAAAGGAUUCUUUGUAUUUCUGCGAGAAGCGUUUAAUAACGGCGUGAAUCCACUGUUCGUAUCGAUUCGAGUUCUUCUCACCGGCAAUGGAAAACCAGUACCGUUACGGAUUAUAUUAAAUCGUCGUCAUUAACUCAUUCUCCCUAUUCAUUCCACUGUUUCUCAUUCAGUGCAUCUCUUCUUCUUUAAGUCGGUGAAUCUGCAAGUAUAAAUAAUUGAGUUUGUAUUGUAUAAUUCAUCAUUUCAUGCUUCAAUUUCCGUUGUUACUGCCUUCUUUGUUUUGGAUUUGAGCUCUCCGGCUUUAAUGAAUUCAUGGACGUGUUUCUGCGAUCAGGUUGGAGUGAAAGCUCAUGGGACAGCGAAGAGAAUGGCUUUCUUCCCGGCAGUUAGGGAGGAGACGGGGAUCGAUCGAGCUAGGACUAGGAGAGAGUGGAGUCGGGGAGUUUGUCUCCGAUGGAAAUGGCGAAGGAGAUGGUGGUUGAGUAGGAGCUGCGGCUGCUACUGAACUGAGGGAGAGAUUAGGAGUGAGAGAGUGUGUGAAGGAAAGAGGCCAUGUUUGUGGAGGUUGGGAAGAUGAAUGGUUUGAUUUUUGACCGACUGUGGUGUUACAUUUCCCGGUGGAGCAGAGCAGUCGUGUCUUAUCCUCUGGUCUCCACAUACCGGAAAGAAAUCCGGAGACGUUAAGCAAGUGCGUUGAGUCCAAACAUCAUCUAUAAUGCCAUCAUUAACAACAACUUCCCAAUGCUCUCAUGAUCUCUCAUUCAGUGUCUCUCCCACUACUUGGAUAGAGUGAAACUGCGAGUAUAAAUAUUUACAACAUGGUCAAUUAUAGGAAAGGACAAACAAGAGCGAUGGUGACUCCUUCUUGGCAUGUUCUUUGAAUCAUUGCAACUUCUUAAGAUUUCUCAAGCCCACAUCAGAGAUAUUUUGGUGUUGCAAUUGGCAGAGGAAAACAAGCUACUAAAACAUAAGCUACUGUGAAUGUGUUCGCUAUAAUCGUACUGUGCUUUAUGUGUAUGGUCUGAAGCAGUUAUAACGAACUUCACAAUGGACCAGGCAAGUAGAUUAUGAAACCACGAAGAGCUUCUACGGUUAAUGGGAUUGAUGAUACUGAUUAACAAACUAAAUGGAGGUAUAGCUUUACAACAAAUGUUUCUUGAUUGCAUAGCUGUUGGCCAUUUUGGACCUGCUCAUCAAGGAAUAGUAGAUAGUCAGGGGCUCAAGUCACCCUCAUGAUGAUGACAACAGGCGGAGGAAGACAUAACGCCAUCUACAGUUCUGAAAAAUGGUGAAGAACUUGAAAUGUUGAAAUUCCAUAUGUCUACUUCAUAAAAGUACCUUCUCAUUGCAGUGUUCUUGCUCAAGAAACCCAACCAUGCUAGAUGGCUGGAUGUUAGACUCCACUAGAGGAAAUCAGUGGAAAUGGAUAAUCGUAAAAGAAAUCAAAAGUAAGUUGUGGAAACAAUAUCUGUGUAACUGUGUUUCUCACUUCUUCUUUUUUUAGAACAAGGCUUUAGAAUCUGAGUUUCGCUUUUGGUGUAAAUUUCCUAUUUGAUGACAAGCGUACGUAGUGGCAAUUGCUCUGUUGACAUAUACAUUUCGUGUUAAUUUGUUCUUAUCUAUUUUUAUGAGUUCAUUUACAACUAUUA